CGGGGCCUUCCCGCCGAGCCUCCGCCAGGCUUCGGGACCGAGGGGCUGGGGAGCUACACGGAGAUCAAGGCCAAGAGCAGCUCCCCCAGAUCACCUUUCAGGUCACUUUCUCACAAAUGACUUUCCCAGCCCUUCAUCUAAAGGAGCACACAAAGAGGCCUUGGGGGGAGUUCCUGGAAGAACUGAAAUCAGAAAUGGUGAUUCUUCUAACAUAUCAAGGAACUCUGGGAAAUAAUCACCAACUUCUUCAUCUACUGCUCCAACAAGACUUAUCUGCCGCAUAGGACCUGCUCGGGCCAAGUUCAACCAUGCACAUGACAACACCAAAGGAAAUGGCAAAACUUAAAGACAGAAGGAAAGGAGAAUCCAAGAUGACAUCAUGGAACAGAGCUGCUUACCUCUGGGCUUGUUACUUGAGAAAGAAACUUAUUUUGUCCUAGCUACUGUAUGUGCGAUCUCUUUGUUACGGUGGUUUAGCCUAUAUCUUGUAUACUUUGUACUAAGGGAGGCAAUACUCCAUAUUGCACAGAUGACACCUGGAGCAUUAUCUCCUGCUCUGGGCUAAAAAAAAAAGUCUAUUACAAGAGCACACCCGAAAGACAACAAUCAAGAUGAUUAGUGACUUGGAAAUCAUACAGA